rnacentral:rRNA from 1 species
AUUGAACGCUGGCGACAGGCUUAACACAUGCAAGUCGAGCGGGGUGAUGGUGCUUGCACUAUCACUUAGCGGCGGACGGGUGAGUAAUGCUUAGGAAUCUGCCUAUUAGUGGGGGACGACAUCUCGAAAGGGAUGCUAAUACCGCAUACGUCCUACGGGAGAAAGCAGGGGAUCACUUGUGACCUUGCGCUAAUAGAUGAGCCUAAGUCGGAUUAGCUAGUUGGUGGGGUAAAGGCCUACCAAGGCGACGAUCUGUAGCGGGUCUGAGAGGAUGAUCCGCCACACUGGGACUGAGACACGGCCCAGACUCCUACGGGAGGCAGCAGUGGGGAAUAUUGGACAAUGGGGGGAACCCUGAUCCAGCCAUGCCGCGUGUGUGAAGAAGGCCUUAUGGUUGUAAAGCACUUUAAGCGAGGAGGAGGCUCUUUUGGUUAAUACCCAAGAUGAGUGGACGUUACUCGCAGAAUAAGCACCGGCUAACUCUGUGCCAGCCGCCGCAGUAA